rnacentral:rRNA from 1 species
GACGAACGCUGGCGGCGUGCUUAACACAUGCAAGUCGAACGGAAAGGCCCUGCUUUUGUGGGGUGCUCGAGUGGCGAACGGGUGAGUAACACGUGAGUAACCUGCCCUUGACUUUGGGAUAACUUCAGGAAACUGGGGCUAAUACCGGAUAGGAGCUCCUGCUGCAUGGUGGGGGUUGGAAAGUUUCGGCGGUUGGGGAUGGACUCGCGGCCUAUCAGCUUGUUGGUGGGGUAGUGGCUUACCAAGGCUUUGACGGGUAGCCGGCCUGAGAGGGUGACCGGCCACAUUGGGACUGAGAUACGGCCCAGACUCCUACGGGAGGCGGCGGUGGGGAAGAUUACACAGUGGGCGGAAGCCUGAUGCAGCAACGCCGCGUGCGGGAUGACGGCCUUCGGGUUGUAAACCGCUUUCGCCUGUGACGAAGCGUGAGUGACGGUAAUGGGUAAAGAAGCACCGGCUAACUACGUG